CCUCCCUUCCUCCUGCGCCUCUGCGUCACCGUCCUUGUCGGCUAUCGGGCCACGCGAGGAUGCAGCCUGGCCCGGCCACAUCGUCGUCGUCCUCGUCUCAGGCCAUCACCACCCGGAUCUGCACCACCACCGGUGCCCCGUCGCGCACCUAUCCGCCGGGGCUGAGGAGGAAACCAGGCAGCCUCCAUCUCUCAUCUCCGUCCGGCGACCGUCGCCGUGCAGCUCGGCGGCAUGCGUGAUGCGGUUCAGUGCUGGUGCCGGUGCACGGGACUCCCCUACUUCUUCUCCCCACCGACGAACAUUCAACCACGCCAGUGUUUGAGCUCGCUUGCAUGUGUCGCGGCGCUUAGGUAUGGGAGCAAAGCAGCUGAUGGCGGUGCGGCAAGGAGGGUUGUUGACGCCGUCGCGGGUGGCCUCCGCUGGCUCUGUAUCAUUGAUGCUUCCCCUGACCACAGGUUGCCUCCGUCCCAUGACCAAGUGUUGUUUUCCCCCAGUAGUUUUGUUUUUUUGCUUUUGAAGAGUAUCCUUGCAGUUAACUUUGUGCUCGGUGUAAUUCGCGUGUGAGUCCGUGGACUAUAGAGCCUUUCUUUUUUAAUAUUGUUUGCAAUUCUCUAGAUGUGUGUUGCAGUGCAUUGCAUAAUGUAUAAACAUCUUUGAAGUUCACUAAGCUUUGUCACUCCGGCA